GACGAACGCUGGCGGCGUGCUUAACACAUGCAAGUCGAACGGAAAGGCCCUGCUUUUGUGGGGUGCUCGAGUGGCGAACGGGUGAGUAACACGUGAGUAACCUGCCCUUGACUUUGGGAUAACUUCAGGAAACUGGGGCUAAUACCGGAUAGGAGCUCCUGCUGCAUGGUGGGGGUUGGAAAGUUUCGGCGGUUGGGGAUGGACUCGCGGCUUAUCAGCUUGUUGGUGGGGUAGUGGCUUACCAAGGCUUUGACGGGUAGCCGGCCUGAGAGGGUGACCGGCCACAUUGGGACUGAGAGACGGCCCAGACUCCUACGGGAGGCAGCAGUGGGGAAUAUUGCACAAUGGGCGGAAGCCUGAUGCAGCAACGCCGCGUGCGGGAUGACGGCCUUCGGGUGGUAAACCGCUUUCGCCUGUGACGAAGCGUGAGUGACGGUAAUGGGUAAAGAAGCACCGGCUAACUACGU
rnacentral:rRNA from 1 species